GCGGGUGUGGCGGAACUGGUAGACGCGCUAGACUUAGAAUCUGGUGAGCAUCGCUCGUGGAGGUUCGAGUCCUCUCACCCGCACCA
rnacentral:tRNA from 1 species